rnacentral:rRNA from 1 species
GACGAACGCUGGCGGCGUGGAUUAGGCAUGCAAGUCGAACGGUAUCAUCCUUUCGGGGGUGAGAGAGUGGCGAACUGGUGAGUAACACGUAGGUUAUCUACCCUCAAGACGGGGACAACCCAGGGAAACUUGGGCUAAUACCGGAUGUGAGCAACUUUUUAGUUGUUUGAAAGGUGGCGUAAGCUGUCGCUUGGGGAUGAGCCUGCGUCCUAUUAGUUAGUUGGUGAGGUAACGGCUCACCUAGGGCAAUGAUAGGGUAGGCGGCCUUAACGGGGUGGUCGCCCACACUGGGAUUGAGAUACGGCCCAGACUCCUACGGGAGGCAGCAGUCGAGAAUAGUCUACAAUGGUCGGAAGACUGAUAGUGCGACGCCGGCGUGAACGAUGAAUCCCUUCGGGGUGUAAAGUUCUUUUAUAUGUGAGCAGUGCUUCUUAUAUUAACAGUAUGGGGAGAGAGAUAUUAGCAUAUGAAUAAGCAACGGCUAACUCCGUGCCAGCAGCCGCGGUAAA